rnacentral:rRNA from 1 species
UACGUAGGGUCCGAGCGUUGUCCGGAAUUAUUUGGCGUAAAGGGCUCGUAGGCGGUCCGUCAAGUCGGCUGUGAAAUCUCAGGGCUCAACCCUGAGCUUGCAGUCGAUACUGGCGGACUUGAGGCAGGUAGGGGAGAGUGGAAUUCCCGGUGUAGCGGUGAAAUGCGCAGAUAUCGGGAGGAACACCAGUAGCGAAGGCGGCUCUCUGGGCCUGUCCUGACGCUGAGGAGCGAAAGCGUGGGUAGCAAACAGG